AGGAAAGCCUGAGGUUAUAAUUGAUCCUUUAUUGGUAGAAAAUCCAAGUGUCCAGAUCAUUAAGUUGAUCCAGACUGGUUUGUUGUGUGUUCAAGAGGAUGCAACAAAGAGACCAACCAUGAGCUCUGUAAUGGUUUGGCUUGGCAGUGAGACCAUCACUAUUCCAUCACCUAAGGCUCCUGCUUUCACAGACAGUUAUUCUCAAUCUGAAGAUGGUACAAUGUCCAUGAGCAUUGUCUUCUCGGAGUUGAGUUCUCGUUGAGUUAUAAUUUGUUAAUCCAUAUGUUCUUUUAAGGUGUAACAAUUAUUCUACUUGAUUUGAAUUAAAAAGAGAGACUAUAAAGUAUAUGAAUAAAUACAUAAUCCUAAGUUCUAGAACCUCUACAGAGAAUAUAUGAUAGUAUUACUUAUACAGAUUUAAUUUUCAAUUUCUUGUUGUAAUCGCCAUGAAUCUUAAUAUGGCCCUUCAAGAUCGGUAAUUGAAGACUUGUGCUGUAGAUCAAUCAUGGUACGCAAUACGCCAACACGCAUGGUAUUGGAAUAUUGCCGCUGGAUUGGAAACUUUGCAAUCCUGGUCUAGAGAGACCUCUCUCCAACAGGGGCACGCUUAUUAUUGACCAUUAUUUGAAAAUUGGGGUAUUUUUUUGGCUUAAAUACAAGUUUAAGUUUUUUUGGCUUAAAUUCGAAAGUUCAGGAUUUGUUUGGCCAUUUUCUCGAAAUUUAAGUUAGACAUAAGUGUUUAAUGGAGUUUGAACAAACUAAUUUUAGGAAGUUACAUGUUUUGAGCUGAUUAUUUUUUUUUUAAAAAAAAAUCAAAAUUUAGUCGGAGAUGUUACCCACUUGGUCGUAACCUACAUCCACCAGUGAGUGUGGGUGAGAGAGUUAGGUUUCCACCGUAGGUUGCGUUUGGAUUUAGAGAGAACUUUCAAACGGCUAAAAACUGAAAAACAAAACGUAGUACGAAGUUAUCUCCAUAUUUUUAUUGAUUUUUUAAAAUGGCCAAUUACAAUUAUCUCGAUAGUAUUGUUUGAAAAUUCAGUUUAAUACUUGUCGUUUUAGAUUUAAAAUAGUCAAUUAUAAUUAUAUCAUUAUUAAACAAAAAUGUUGUCCAUACUGUUACUAUUAAAAAAAACUUAUUUUCUAUUUAAAAAUAUUUUAAAUUAAUUAUUUAAGGUGAGUUUUUAGUUACAAAAAAAAUAUUUUAAAUUAAGACAUAGGAAACUAAUAUAUAAGAAAUGUUACUAUAUUCUACACCAUAUAGUAUAGUAGGUACAUUGAAUCUCGUGCAAGACAUUCUUUAGUAUCCUUUAUAUACUAAAGCGCAAGUCGCUUGGCGAAUAAAAACUAGACAUGUGGCAAAAAAAAUUUAAAAAAAAUAAUUAUUUUCAUCACUCUUUUUUCGGCAGUUAUAAUAUUCAACAACCAAUUUCCUAAUUUUGCUAUCUUUUACGUUAGCUUAUAAAUUUGCUAUCUUUUCUUCAUCUCUUAUAUAAAUUAUCCUAAAACCAGAUGAUACUUUAACCUUUCAGAACUCUUAUACUCAUUUUUUUCAUCGACAACUACUCUUAUUCAAAAGCGAGCUUUCUCAAAUAGUGUGAUCUACAAAUGUUUAGUACAUAUCUAAUGUAUACGAAGGAUUCAUCCAGCUGGUGGUGAAUGAUACAUGUGUCUUUUUCUACUAUAUUACUAUAUCAACCUGGUGAUAUGGAUGAUUGUCUACAUGUGUCUAUUUCUAUGAUAUAAAAAAAUCUAGCGAUCAAAUACAAGAUUUUCUAUGUGUUUUUGUGAUUGUAUUAUUAAUAUAAUAAAGGAUAGAUAAAAUACAAAGUCCAUAAAAUUAAUUUAACAAUAAAAAGAGAUAAAAAUAGAAUAACUACCCACGAUUACAUAUCCCACAAACUAUUUUCCUAAUUAUUCUCAACUGAACACCAUCAUCACAUGAUAGUUUUCAUCUUUCCCUUUCUUUUUAUCACCACCGUUUUUUUUCUUCUCAUCAUCGUUUCAUCUCUCUCUUUUUUACCAUCGUAGCCAAAACACUCUGCAAAGGUUUAUGCUUUCUAUCAAUAUUUUUAGAAUAAUUCUUUUCUUCUUAUCUUAGCAUUUCACAAGGAACGUCAUUGGUUCUACUGGCUUUUAUGUUUGUAUGAUACAGGGUCUGAAAGGACAAAGUCAAAACGUAAGGAUGCUGAGAAGGUAAAAUGAUCUUGUGUUAAUAUCUAAUGGAACUUCAGUUUGUUAAUUUGAAUCCUGUCUUUAAUACCUUUAAAUAAAAUAAUUAAGAACGUAAGAGAUUUUCUCCGUGCAUAGCACGGGAGACACACUAGUAGCCUCAUAAAGCACCAGACAUCAUAUGAUUCUAUAUUAUACAAUAUAUAGUAUAGUAUAGUCGAAUGGAAACAAAUGACAUAUUUAUUUAACUAUGUUAUGUACAAGAAUUAAUUACACUGAAAUUUAUCUGAAAUGUCCAAACUAAUUAAUCCGAAAUAUCCAAAAAAAUUAUCUAAAUAACCGAUAUUUUAUCUGAAUUGUCCAAACUACCCGAACUAUUCAAACCCGAACCGCAACCAAAUGAGAACAAAAUAUUUUUCAGGUAUUUUCCGAUUCUUUGUUUUACUAUCCGAACCGAACCCAAAACUAUCCAAACCGAACCGAAAAUAUGUCAAGUAGUAAAUUGAUCCUCUAGUCCCCUAUCCGAACUACUCGAAACCCAAAAUAUCUAAACUGGACCGAUACCCAAAAUACCCAGGCCUAAUGUAAACAAUGUGGCAUGCAGUGUCAUCAUUUCCAAUCAACGUCGUUUCCACUUCCAAACAAUAUAGCACCUGUGAGUGGACUUAACUCGUCAAGCACCCAACUUGGAAGUUUCCAGUGGGGUUAAAAUAGACAACUGGAUCUGAAUGGAGUCAAGCAGCCAACUUCGAAAUUUCCCAAUCUGAAGAUGGUACAAUGUCAAUGAGCAAUGUCUUCACAGAGUUAAGUUGUCGUUAAGUUAUAAAUUUGUUAAUUUAUGUUGUUUCAAGGUAGUACUAAAUGUAUCGAAUUGAGAAAGAGAAUAGUAAAAAGUAUGAGUAUAUACAAUCCUAAGUUCAGAAACCUCUACAUAGAAUAUAUGUAACUACCAUUUAUACAGAUUUGAUUUAAUAUUUGUUACGGUAACUAGGUCCUUGUCCGCGCUAUGCGCGGAUAGUAUUUUGAUUUUUUCAUAUUUUAUACUAUUAUGCAAAUUGUUUAGCUUUAUAAAAUGUUAUGUUUUUACUGUAAAUUUGGAAUUAAAAAUCCAAUUUUUCCUUACUGUAAAGUAAGUUAAUUUUUUUGAAUCUUACCACAACACAUUAUACAUGAAGAGAAUAUAGUUGGUCUUUAUAUUCUUAUUUGGUGUAAUAUUAAAAAUUUUGAUGGUUUGUUUAAAUGGUCUUUUUUAAAUUAUAUAUUUUAGGAUUGAUUUUCGUGACUAUAUUCUAUAAUUGUCCCAUAUAGACAUCCACAUAAAUAUAGACUUCUAAUAAAUUUGUUAAUUGAGAUAUUUAGUUUUACUUUCAACUUUAUUCUCUUUUUUGGUACCCUCAUGCUAGCUUGUGGGGCUAACCAACUUGGUGCAAAAAAGUUUACAAAAGCUGAUCGAGAUGCCCGUGAUCAGACUCCUUUUGCUAGGCUAUUCGUACAGAAUUUUAAAGAUCUAGGAAUAUAAGCAAUAGAAAGUCCAAAAAAUUCUUUGGAUACAGCCUGUAUUUCGUCGAGCUCCGAGUCCAACGCAGGCCAAUCUUCCUCCUUUUGAAUGAGUAUAACCAAUUGUUCACAGUCGAUUGAAAGACCAUCUCCCUGUGUCCAAACUUCAGUAUCACUUGCAUUGCCCAUAGCAAACCUUCAGCUUCCGCUUGCAGUGGUGAUUUGGUGCGUUAUUUCGGCUCUUGCUCCAAACAGCAUUGGAAAGUCACCAUCCAUUAACACAAAGCCAAGUCCAGAUAUGUCUCUUUCAUUUAUCCAGGAUGUCUAACAGGAGCGUUUCUUUGCGGAGGAACAGUUGUGUCCGUUACCUCAACUCCCAUAUCUGAACAUGCAGUACCGGAUAGUCUCGUACGUUCCUCAAACCGCUCUUUUGGGAACGUCCAGACUAGUCCUCCUAAAAUAGGGCCAAGUCCAGAUCAUAUCGGGCCAUUGAUAAACAUGACCCUUUUCAUGCUACAAUGGGAAUACACGGUUAAUAAGACCCUCGAGGCUGCCACAAAAGCUAAUGCUUCCUCGGCACAGAAGUACUAUAGUGCCUCAUACGCCGAGUUCACAGCGUUUCCGAAUGUUUACAUGCUGAUGCAGUGCACACCCGACAUAACUUCUCAAGGCUGCAAGCAAUGUUUGGAAGCUUGUUUGAAAUACUUUAGAGAACAGUUUCUGGGAAAAACAGGGGGCAUGGCUACUUUUCCAAGCUGUUUUUUCAGAUGGGAUCUAUAUACUUUCCAUGGUGCUUUUCUGAAUGUUACAAGAGUUCCGGCACUUCCUCGACCUCCGCCUCAGGAAAACGGGAGCUCUAUACCAGAUAAGAAAGGUAAGACAUAUGUUGUAAAUAUAAUAAAGAGGAUUCGCAGACUAACAAGGGUUUAAAAUUUCCAGGAAGAAGCAUGCUAUGGGUAAUCAUCACGAUAAUUGGGGUUCUUACUUUUAUUAACGUUUUGGUAUUUCUUGGUUUCUACAAAGUCAAUGCUUGGAGGAGAAAAUUUAACAACGGAAAAAAUGGUAAGUCCACCUUGUUUAUUGCUUCAGUCGACCUUUCUGAUGACUUAUUUUUGUUCGUUUUAGUUGGUGGUGCAGAAUACGCUGAUUCAGAUGGUCAAUUUAUGUUACGGUAUGAUCUUGGUAUGAUCUUAUCAGCAACCGCUAACUUUUCGCCUGAAAAUAAGCUUGGGCAAGGUGGAUUUGGUACCGUCUAUAAGGUAGUAAUACCAUUUUUUUCUAGUUAUAUUAUUGAUAUCUUGCUUGGUCUUGGAUGAGUAACAAAUCUUGAGAACGUAUCGGGUUUCAGGGGAAACUACUUAACGGGAAAGAGAUAGCCGUAAAGAGAUUAGCCAGAGGUUCAGAAGGAGGUAUAGAGUUUAAGAAUGAGGUUUCACUCUUGACAAGACUCCAGCAUAAGAAUCUAGUUAAGCUUCUUGGUUUCUGUAACGAAGGAGAUGAAGAGAUUCUUGUCUACGAGUUUGUACCCCACUCAAGCCUUGACCGAUUUAUCUUCGGUAAGAUUUGGAAAGACCAGAUUUAUAUGAAACAUUCUAAUAGAGAUUUAUCGUUUACAAGAGCCAAAAUUUUUAAAAAACUUUAUAUAUUAAUUUAUAAUUUAUAUAAUCUUUAAUAUAAAAUACAGCAAAACUAUAAAUUUUGGAAAAUACUUAUCUAAUAGUAAAAUAGUAAAUUAUUUAUAAAAAGAAAAAAUGAUAUAUUAUAAAACUGUAAUAUAUUUUUAAAACAAAAUAUAUUUAUUUAUUGGAUUGUAGACAAGGUUUUGGAUAGGACAGUUUCGUUUAGUUUCUAAAAAUAAAAGCAAUAAUAAUGUUUCUUUCAAAUCUGCAGAUGAGCAGAAGCGUUCGCUUCUUACAUGGGAAGUGAGGUUUAAAAUUAUAGAAGGAAUUGCUCGAGGUCUUGUUUAUCUCCAUGAAGAUUCUCAGCUGAAGAUUAUUCACCGAGACUUGAAGGCAAGCAACAUCCUUUUAGAUGCAGAAAUGAACCCUAAGGUUGCAGAUUUUGGGACAGCGAGGUUGUUUGACACCGAUGAGACUCGAGCUGAAACAAAACGAAUAGCUGGAACUCGGUAAAAGCAUAUCAAUCAAUUUUGAAGACAAAUAAAUACGCACACCAACAAUUAACGUUAUUAUAAUUGUAUAUAUGCAGUGGAUAUAUGGCUCCGGAAUACCUGAAUCAUGGGCAAAUCUCAGCUAAAUCUGAUGUAUAUAGCUUCGGUGUGGUGCUUCUAGAAAUGAUAAGUGGUCAAAGAAAUAAUAGCUUUGAAGGAGAAGGAAUUGCAGCUUUUGUAAGUUUCUUCACAUAUCAGUCGUCACGUAUCUUCAAUCUAAUGUAGAAAGUAAGAAUAUAACUUUUCUUUUGGUUCAGGCAUGGAAGAGGUGGUCUGAAGGAAAGCCUGAGGUUAUAAUUGAUCCUUUAUUGGUAGAAAAUCCAAGUGUCCAGAUCAUUAAGUUGAUCCAGACUGGUUUGUUGUGUGUUCAAGAGGAUGCAACAAAGAGACCAACCAUGAGCUCUGUAAUGGUUUGGCUUGGCAGUGAGACCAUCACUAUUCCAUCACCUAAGGCUCCUGCUUUCACAGACAGUUAUUCUCAAUCUGAAGAUGGUACAAUGUCCAUGAGCAUUGUCUUCUCGGAGUUGAGUUCUCGUUGAGUUAUAAUUUGUUAAUCCAUAUGUUC
rnacentral:lncRNA from 1 species